CGCUGGCGGCGCGUUUUAAGCAUGCAAGUCGAGCGGCAAGGGCCUUCGGGCCCCUAGAGCGGCGGACGGGUGAGUAACACGUGGACAAUCUGCCCCCCGGCCCGGGAUAGGCCCAGGGAAACCUGGAUUAAUACCGGAUGAGACGGGACCCGCGAUGGCGGGACCCGGGAAAGGCGCUGCGGCGCCGCCGGGGGAUGAGUCUGCGUCCCAUUAGCUAGACGCGGGGUAACGGCCCACCGUGGCGACGAUGGGUAGCCGGCCUGAGAGGGUGGACGGCCACAUUGGAACUGAGACACGGUCCAGACUCCUACGGGAGGCAGCAGCUAAGAAUCUUCCGCAAUGGGCGAAAGCCUGACGGAAGCGACGCCGCGUGAACGAAGAAGGCCGUGAGGUUGUAAAAUUCUUUUCGGGAGGGGGAACAACCGUGGCAGGGAAUGGCCGCGGGAUGACGUGAAUCCCGGAAUAAGCCCCGGCUAACUACGUGCCAGCCGCCGC
rnacentral:rRNA from 1 species